GGUCACAUUGUAUGUAGUACAUAUAAAGGCUGGCACCAAUCUCAUAGUCAGAGUUCAGAUUCGGUGCGGUAUAUAAAUAUCCUUCACACAUUUUUUUUUUGUAAUUUAUUUUAUAUACAUCAAGUUGAAGUAUUUUUUAAAAAUUUUUCAUGUCACUGUGCCGAGUAUCAAUGGUCUGCGAUUCAAUGAAGUCAAUUCUUAUAGUUUUGCUGCUACCGUAUCGUUGUAAUAGUCAAGCAAAAGGUGGUGCGUAUUUAAAAUUUCAGAGUUUGAUUUUAAAGACAACUGCAGCAAAUACGGACAGAUUUGCAUUAAUUACUUCAACUGUUCUAAUACAAAAGAACUUAUUGAAAGUAAGCAAGCUUUACCGUGUGGUUUUCGGGAUGAACUUUCCAAAAAAGAUAUAAAAAUAUGCUGCAAUCCAUCAAAUAUUAUCUCAGCAACAACUUCAUCACCACCUCCAUCACAUCAGGUAAUUCGAGAACAAGAUCUUGGGUCAUCCGUUUCCAGGAAUUCCACUGCAAUAGCACUGCAAAAAUGCCAAGAGUAUGGAAGAUAUCAAUACGUGAAAAUAUUGCGACCUACUCUUCUACUAGCCGAUAAAGGAAAAUAUCAUGUCGAGGUAGACUGCAUGCUUACGGAAACAUUAAUGGCCCGAUUAGCGCUCGGUGGCAGUAAAAUUGCCAACUGCCAAUUGUGAACUUUUGGCAAAAAUUCGAGUAAAAGUUGGCAAAGUCUCCACCAAUGAAAACGCUUUAUUUAAUAGCCAACUUGACAAUUUGUUGGCAAAAUUUUUGCCAACUAAUUGUCAACAGAGGCAUAUUUUUGUCAAUUACAUAUACAUUUCGUUUUGCCAACUAAUUACCAAAAAGGCAAUAUUUUUGUCAACUACUCACAUUUUCAAAAUAAGGGAUACAUUUUUGAAUUUUAAAUUUCAAAAAUCAAAAAUGAAGGGAAGGGUUACAUGUUUCAGCUUUUUGACUUCAGAAAUGGUAUUUUUCCAUCGUGUUGCAUUUUUCCUACCUAUAAUAUAUCACUAAAAUUUCCUGACCUAAGGGGGGUUCAAACCUGUGUUCUCCUGCACCUAAAACCCUACACCUAACCCUACAGCUACCAGUACCACAAGAUGAAUUGGACAUAAAAUGAAUUCUUAUCAUUUGCUUGCAGGCUCGUGUUGCUAAUUGCUUUGAUUUAGGCCAUGUCAAAAAAAUUUACGAAUAUUUUUGGUGGUAAAAAUUCCUUAAAGUAGUACCUAGAUUUUUUAAAUUUUAGUGACACUAAAAAUUUUAAAGCUAAAUUCAGAAAUUUUUUAAAUUCUACUUCAGAAAUAAAAUAAAAAUAAGAAAAUCAAUUUUAAAAAUUGAUAUCAAUUAAACUGCAAUUAUUUUUUUUAAUUUGUUGAAUUCUGUGAAUUGAUUUUUUUAUUUUCAUUGAUUUGGAAAAAAUUAUUUUGUAAAAUGGAAUUAAAAAAAUAUCUGAAUUUAGCUUUACAAUUUUUGGUUUUACUGGAAUUUUUUUCGAUCCGUUAUACCCAUUCGGAAUUUUUUUAGUAGUUUUCAAACAAUUUUAAAUCAAUUAUCUUUUUAAACAAAAAUUAUUUAUUACGUUGGAAUAAAAAAAAUUGAAAAGAAACAAAAAGACGUUUUCCUAUACA